AUUGAACGCUGGCGGCAGGCCUAACACAUGCAAGUCGAGCGGAUGAAGGGAGCUUGCUCCUGGAUUCAGCGGCGGACGGGUGAGUAAUGCCUAGGAAUCUGCCUGGUAGUGGGGGAUAACGUCCGGAAACGGGCGCUAAUACCGCAUACGUCCUGAGGGAGAAAGUGGGGGAUCUUCGGACCUCACGCUAUCAGAUGACCCUAGGUCGGAUUAGCUAGUUGGUGGGGUAAAGGCCUACCAAGGCGACGAUCCGUAACUGGUCUGAGAGGAUGAUCAGUCACACUGGAACUGAGACACGGUCCAGACUCCUACGGGAGGCAGCAGUGGGGAAUAUUGGACAAUGGGCGAAAGCCUGAUGCAGCCAUGCCGCGUGUGUGAAGAAGGUCUUCGGAUUGUAAAGCACUUUAAGUUGGGAGGAAGAGCAGUAAGUUAAUACCUUGCUGUUUUGACGUUACCAACAGAAUAAGCACCGGCUAACUUCGUG
rnacentral:rRNA from 1 species